GACGAACGCUGGCGGCGUGCUUAACACAUGCAAGUCGAACGGAAAGGCCCCUUUGGUGGUACUCGCGUGGCGAACGGGUGAGUAACACGUGCGUAAGCUGCCCUUGACUUCGGGAUAACUAAAGGAAAGUGGGGCGAGUACAGGCUAGGAAUCAUUGCUGCAUGGUGGGGGGUGGAUGGAUUCGGCGGUUUUGGAUGGACUCGCGGGUUAUCUGCUUGUUGGUGGGGGAGUGGGUUACCAAGGCUUUCAUGGGUAGCCGGCCUGCGGGGGCGACCGGCCACACUGGGACUUAGGUGAGGCCCAGGCUGCUACGGGAGGCAGCAGGGGGGAAUAUUGGACAAGGGGCGGAAGCCGGAUGCAGCAACCCCUCGGGCGGGAAGACGGCCUUCGGGUUGGAAACCGAUUUCAGCAGGGGCGAAGCUUGUGGUGACGGUACCUGCAGAAGAAGCACCGGCUAACUACGUG
rnacentral:rRNA from 1 species